UACGGAGGGUGCAAGCGUUAUCCGGAUUCACUGGGUUUAAAGGGUGCGUAGGAGGGCAGGUAAGUCAGUGGUGAAAUCCCCGAGCUUAACUUGGGAACUGCCAUUGAUACUAUCUGUCUUGAAUGCUGUGGAGGUGAGCGGAAUAUGUCAUGUAGCGGUGAAAUGCUUAGAUAUGACAAAGAACACCAAUUGCGAAGGCAGCUCGCUACACAGUUAUUGACUCUGAGGCACGAAAGCGUGGGGAUCAAACAGG
rnacentral:rRNA from 1 species